GAUUUAAGUUUAUUUGAUUUUGAUUUGAGUUCACAUCUCAUGAAUAUACACAUUUAAAUUAGACAGACAGGACAUAUAAUCUUAAUAUUGUAUUUUAUAUUCGUAAAUGUAUUUUAGCUCUGUUAGUGUUGUUGCUGAAUUCUUUUAUUAUUGUUGUUUCAUUAGGAGUUGUGCUUGUUAAAUUUGCUAUUUGUUUAGGGAACUCUUGGGGGUCAUUACGUAUUUGUUUUCAUUUAUGAGCGCAUUUAUGAUGCUGAUGCGGCCAAGCGCUGUAUAUGGCAUAUUAAUAUUGUUUAAAUAGUUAAUCUCCUCCUGUUUCUUCUUCUCUUUUUUUUUUUUUUUCUUUUGUUUUAUAAAUAUGCAAUAUGUUUGUAACAAUAUUUAAUGAUAAUUACGCAAAUAAUUAAACUAAAGUGAAAGCUUUUUCCAUUAAAUGUACAUCUUGUAAAUAUUGGUAGUAGCAAAAACUUAGGGCUACAUUUACAAUAGGGUUUUCCUUUCGUUUUCCGAUAUUAUAUAUGUUAGGGUAUAAAAUGCUGAUACCAUUGUAGAAAUUGUCACUUAAAUAUAGUUGGGGCUGUUUUUUGGUUUUCUAUGUACAAAAGUGUGUUAGUUUUCCUUAGCGGUUCUUUAACAUUUUAUGUUGGGAUUUCCUUUUUGUUUUCUUUUGGUUUAUUUCAUUUUUCGCUUGCGCUGAGUUUUACAAAUGUUAUUUAUUUCUGAAUGUCUAGUUAGAUGGGUGAUCAUAGUUUUCUUUUUGAUUUUGGGAAACUUGCAUUUUUAACAAGUGCGCUAAAAAGUGCAAUUCUACAUUUUGUGGUGGAGAGAGGGAGAGAGGGGGAGAUAGAGAGGUAUUAGAGAGAGGAGAGAAAGAGUUAGAUAUCAUGAUGAUACACUCUGAGAAAUCCGGUGAGUGAUGCGAGUCUUGGCAGCAAAUGUUUCGUUUUAUGGCUGAAGAAAUAAGACUUAGCUCGUCCCCAUUUCUCUGAGUGUACUUAAAUAGUUUAUUGGCUUGGUGCAAAUGGAAAACUCUUGGAACUGCUUUAGAACUUGAUUGCGAAAGUAGUACAAGAAUAUUCCUUUGUGAUGUGCGUGGGAGAGAGUUUG